UACGUAGGGCGCAAGCGUUGUCCGGAAUUAUUGGGCGUAAAGAGCUCGUAGGCGGUCUGUCACGUCUGCCGUGAAAACCCGAGGCUUAACCUCGUGGCUUGCGGUGGAUACGGGCGGACUAGAGGUAGGUAGGGGAGAACGGAAUUCCCGGUGUAGCGGUGAAAUGCGCAGAUAUCGGGAGGAACACCGGUGGCGAAGGCGGUUCUCUGGGCCUUACCUGACGCUGAGGAGCGAAAGCAUGGGGAGCGAACAGG
rnacentral:rRNA from 1 species